rnacentral:tmRNA from 1 species
GGGGCUUUUUGGAUUCGACAUUGAAAAAUCAAUGGACGUGGGUUCAAAUCCCACAAGCUCCA